AGAGUUUGAUCCUGGCUCAGGACGAACGCUGGCGGCGUGCUUAACACAUGCAAGUGGAGCGACGAACCAGGCUUCGGCCUGGGGCAGAGCCGCGAACGGGUGAGUAACACGUGGGUAACCUGCCCCGAUGACCGGGACAACCCGAGGAAACUCGGGCUAAUACCGGAUGUGCCCGCCUCACAUCAGUGAGGUGAGUAAAGGUAGCUUCGGCCUCCGCAUCGGGAUGGGCCCGCGGCCCAUUAGCUUGUUGGUGGGGUAACGGCCUACCAAGGCUGCGAUGGGUAGCUGGUCUGAGAGGACGAUCAGCCACACUGGGACUGAGACACGGCCCAGACUCCUACGGGAGGCAGCAGUGGGGAAUCUUGCGCAAUGCACGAAAGUGUGACGCAGCAACGCCGCGUGGGGGAAGAAGGCCUUCGGGUUGUAAACCCCUUUCAGGAGGGACGAAGUGUCGGCCGUUAAUAGCGGUUCGGCAUGACGGUACCUCCACAAGAAGCCCCGGCUAACUACGUGCCAGCAGCCGCGGUA
rnacentral:rRNA from 1 species